rnacentral:lncRNA from 1 species
UUGCUAAGUUAUAUGUGUUAGUGUCGGGGAAAUAGUUUGCAGAUAAUGGAGGAGUAACCCUACAACUAUAUGUUCUUAGUUCUUACAGAACCUCAUAGUUUGAGAACAAAUGCUGAUGCAACUGAUUUAUACAAAAUGAACUUUGGCAAGGAAAUAACAAUAACCUCAUUGUUUAUGGUCAUGCUUUGUGCAUAAUCAAAGUUGAUGAUUAAAAUGUAAGGAAGUGGUAUCAGUCAGUCCAUAAAGAUUGCGCUAAUUUUUUUGUGAAAAAGUAGCCAUUAGUUUAUCAGGAGACUUUGUGCUGCCUUCAAAUGCCGCACUGAUAUUUCUCCUGUUGAAAAGCUGAUGUGUCCAGCUCAACCUUUGUGCUGACAUAAUACCAUUUCUGAUCAUGAAAAUUGGCUACUGGCGUGUAUGUAGCAGUUCUUAAAUCAGCAGUAUUAUGAAAGAAAAUUUCCCCCUCAUUAGAAUGUUUAAGAAAUCUGUCUUUUAAAAAAGUGAACAAAUAAAUUCCAUCAGACCACAAAUGUUAAGCUGUUUAUGCUUUAAAUAUUUAUGAGUUCAGCCCUCCUUUCUAGUUAUCUGAUUUACUUCUAUGAGAAAAUCCUAAGUCCUUUCACUUUGAGCAAUGUUCUAUUUGGUAAAUAAAGUGAAGAGCUGUUUUAUUCUGAAUAUAACUGAAUUUAUAUAGUUCAUGACAGAAUUUUUAAAAAAUAUAAAAAUAAUCUAAAAAUUGGGUUUUAUUUAAAUGAAUUCUGGAAUAAUGCCCCAAAUGUGCCCAGACUUAUGCAUUAUACUUAUUGCCAUUGACAACUUCUUUUUUAUUUAUUUCCUAUUUGCCACGGGCUUUACCUUGAAUAUGCUCCUUUUUUUCCUUUUCUUUCUUUUCUUUUUUCUUUUUUAGGGUGCUGUUCAAAAUGAAGGCUUCUUCAUCAAGGCCUUUAGUGAAGCCUGGGCAUUUAGGUCUAAAGCUCGGAGGAUCUUCUUUAGAUGCUCUUGCAUGUAAAGCACAAACUGUUUCAGUUUAAUGUACUUCCUCCUACUAACUUUAUGGGGAAGAUAAACAUUCUGUUGAUGGGAGGUCCUAGUCAGUUGCUUGAGAGAGCACAGCCCAGGUUAAACAAGGACUGACUAGGUGUAGAGAGAACCUUGUGAUUUCAAAGAGUUGCUGCUUUGGCAGUGCUUGUUCUAAGAAAAAUACUGCUAGGGAAGUUCCAACUUCUACUGCACUCAACAUCUAGUGAGAUCUGAUGUGUUGAAGUUGUUUUGGUUUGGCACACAGCAUGUUCAAUGAUGGUUACUCGCCUCACAAAGACAUGGAGAAGAAUCCUUUGGACACAGCAGAUGACACCUCCUGUUUUGUAGUGUAUCCUGGUGUCAUUUUCUGGGGAUGUGGUCAGGUAGUUGUUUUGUUGUUGUCAUUGGGCUUUUUAAAAAAACAAAAAAAUACCAAAAAAAUUUUUUGGUCUCUUUGGGUGGGGCGGGGGUGGGCUAAAGCCAUAGGAAGGAAAUGUGAUGUAUGUGUCCAGUAUGUACGAUUUUGUUUUUGUUUUGCAAGAAGAGUUGAACUAUUUUUGAUAACAAGAGUAAAUGGUGG